CCAUUUGUGGCCGAGUGCAUAAGACGAAGGACUUAAAAUCCUUUUGGGGGGCUCCCCCCGUAGGUUCGAAUCAUACCGGUGCGGA